AGAGCGAACGCUGGCGGCGUGCUUAACACAUGCAAGUCGAGUGCGCGCCUGUAGCAAUACAGGUGGCGCACGGCGCACGGGUGCGUAACACGUGGGUAAUCUGCCCUUCGAUGGGGAAUAACCUCGCGAAAGCGAGGCUAAUUCCGCAUAACAUUCCGAUGGUUCCGAUCAAUGGACUCAAAGCCGUAAGGCGUCGGAGGAGGAGCCCGCGCACGAUUAGGCUAGUUGGUGAGGUAACGGCUCACCAAGGCUUUGAUCGUUA
rnacentral:rRNA from 1 species